CGGAGCUCGGGGCGUGACAGAUUAAAUGGUAUCAGAGCAUAAAAGAGCAUAAAAAGAAUAAUAGAAACGGUUUAGAUGGACCUAGGAGACCUAGGAUAGUAAACCGUAAGGAUUCACGCUCGUGAGAGACGAUGACUUGUGACGUGUGGCGAAAGGAAAAGCAAUUGGGUCAAGUUUAGUAAACCUCUAAGACGGAUAUUAGAGGUAGAUUCAAGGUUCAGUUUAUUCUCAGCCAAGUAAGUUCAUGUUGGGUCGACACAACAUGAAACCGAGGGAUGGGAAUAAGCUUCCUUGCAUGAUUUUCGUCCGAUUUGAGUCUGUACUAAUUGUUUCGUAUUCGGCCCAGAGGGUCGAGGACUGAGUGAGUUGUCGUGUCGUGUUUCAGGGAACGAUGGCACCGCGUAGGCGAUCUUCGAUUAGAUCGGCGCGGGAUGGGACAAAUGGUAUCCCCAAGCAAACCGAGACGAGCAGAGACUUGGAGCUUCGCGAGCAGUUGACCACACUCGUGGGAGUGGUCAGGCAACAAGCGGAUGUGGCGCAGCGUCAGCAGGAGGCUGCCAUGCGUCAAGAAGAGCGGAUUAAAAGACUCCAGGAAACAGUAGAUCAGUUGGUGACUACACCGGUUUCGGCUCGUCGUGUACGGCCGACAGUUGUGACAGAGGCAUUUCCGUCGGGGUCGGGCAAUCCGACUUCCGUUAGUACAGAGAUGGAAAUUGAAAGGGAGCGUGCUUUAGCGGCUCUCAUGUCCUUCAAGAAGUUUGAUCCGCCCCUUUUGAUGGAGAGGACAUAGAUCCAUGGACUGUGGAGUCGUGGCUUGACUCCAUAGAGACUAUUUUCGAGGACUUGUACACAAUGGAGCGGGACAAGGUACGCUUAGCCGUGCAUUAUCUGCAACGAUCAGCGAAGGUGUGGUGGAACGAUAUCAAACGGAAUCGAUCACCUAGUCUGCCUCCUAUGGGUUGGACGGAGUUUCGGGAAUUAAUAGUUUCAGUUUAUUUCCCUGAUAGUGAAAAGAGAAAGCUUCGGGACAGGUUUCAAAAAGUACGACAAGGAGAUCGCUCCGUGAGAGAAUAUGAGCGAGAAUUCUCCCGUAUCGUGAGUUGUGUUCCGAACGUGGUACAAGAUGAUAAGGAUCGAGCUGAAUGUUUUGUACGAGGACUUCGGCCUAAUAUUUUCAAAGCAGUGCACAAUCUCAAGUUGCAGACGUUUGCUGAAGUCUUGGAUCGGGCUCUGUGGAUAGAGCAAGGCAAUGCUUUUGUGCGCGAAGAGCGCGAAUCUGAGGAAUGGAAGCGAGUAAGGUCACUACCAACUAACUCAGAUGCACAGUCAAGUUUUGGGCAUCUCUCGACAUCAUCCUCUACUCGAUCCUCCCCACGAUGUGUGAUUUGUGGUGGUUCCCAUUGGGCACGACGUUGCGUGCAGCGGGAAGGAAAGUGCACUCGAUGUGGACAACCAGAACACCCAGGUUAUGAAUGUCUACAAGGUGAUAGUAUAUUGGCGACGCCUUCUUCCUCCCCGGGACAACUUGCAGAUGUGCCACCUGUGGCACGGUCUGGAGAGCGAAUGAGGAUAAGGCAACCGAGGGGUUCGCGACGAACGGCAAGUGGCCGUGGAUAGGUGUUCCAUGUGGAGGAACCUGCUACGACUGUUGGCACUGUGACAGGUACGAGUUAAUUAAAGCAAGCAUGUAUUUCAAUAUGAUAUAAAUUGGUGCAUUGCAUGCCUUCUUUAUGUAUUCUAUUACUACUAUUUGUGCAUGAGGAUAGUAGUGAUUGAUUAUAGAGACCCGAACAUGCUUGUGGUGGAUGCGUAGUACCUGCUAUUGCAGGUAGGAGGCCAAAUGGCACUAGCAAAUUGCUGGUAAGAGCCUGUGAAUAAGAUGUAAGACUCGUAGUAGAAAUGGUAGUAGCUGACCAACUCUCAAAUUAAUGUGAGUUGCUGAUUGCGAGAGUCUAGUCGCGGUGUUCGUGGAACUCGUGUAAGACCGAGUAUCUUGUAGGUUGUUCUAGUAGAUCGAACAGUGAAAGUGGAGUCACUGUUGCGUCUGGUACGUGCACGUGGACCUAACAAUACCUCGAAUUGAGGUCAAUGGGUCGUGCUCGUGUAGUUGAGUGCAUAGGCAAGAGUUGCCUGAUGCUAGACUUAAUAUAGCACGCGAUAGAGUCGUGUAGAGCGCUCGAGUGUUGGUGCUCGUAGAGUGCAGAUUUGUUUCAGCCGUGAGUGCGUUGGCAGUAGCACUUUAGCAUUGCUAAGUGUGAAGCGUGCCAGAGGUCACUCGUAGGGCUGGUGGCUCGCACUAGGUGCGUAGGAGCCGAUAGUGGUAUGUGUGCUCGAUAGAGAGUGUCGGGUAAGACGACGUUUGCGGGUAGUGCUUGGAGACGAUCCGUGCCUGGACCACUUGUGGACUGUGGAGCCUGGACCCAUUGGGUAGGCGCAGUCAGCUGUGAGAGACAGCGGCCCGAUACCUGCAGGUAGGGCGGAGAGUUUUGGUCAGGACGGUAGUCCGAGCAUAGACCCGAGUACGUGGAAUGCCACGUGUUGGAUCGUGAAAUCGGUGAUGCACUAAGAGUGCGGUUGUGACCCAACCCGAGGCCUUGGCGUGGUUUGGGGUCUCGGUUGCUCCCAGUUGGAGUAGGUAUAAGGUAUCUCGAAUGAGAACUUUGCUUCGUGAUAAUUGGGUUUACGCUUGCGAGCGAGAGGCAUUAUGUCGUGUCACGGUUGAGUUAGGCAAUCGGUCUAUAGCGAAUCGGUAACUUAUGAACCGAAUUGUGGUAUUGGUUUACUCGUUUAUACUGAAAGCGAGUGUAGUGGACCCAUUCCAGUGGCUUGUGAGUAGGGCCGUGAAAGCGAAGGCUUAGUCCUAUGGAUGAAUUAAUCAGACUUGCUAUGAUAAGCAUCGAUAACGAGCUGAGAAUGGAAACGCGAACAAAGUGUUCGUAGAGACUGAUGUGGAGAAAUCAGUAUAGUAUAAAAUGAAAUUGAGAAACUGUAGAAUAGUAUUGGAAUUUAUCUCCAUCCGUUAAGUAAUGAGGAAUAAGAUGUAUCUAAGUUUCGCGGACGAAACUUUUGUUAACGGGAGGAGAAUGUAACAUAUGGAAACUUGGAGUUGCGAUGUCAACUUUGACCUAGAGGGUCAAAGUGAGGAUUGAGCUAGUUGGACAUCAUCCCCGAGUGAUUUGUGAUGCGUGUGAAUGAAUUCUGGAGAUAAAUAAGUGUUUCGGCGCAAAUUGGGCGCGAAACGAAAUAUAAAGAGAAUUUCGGAUUUCCGACGCUAACUUUGAUUAAAAGAAUUAAAGUAAGGCGUGAGGAUAAAUUGUGGUAUCUCCGAAUCAAUUGUGAAGUUUUGGAAAAGCCAAGGGUGUGCUUUCAAAGGGUUUUGAAGUGUUCAGUGCGAAGUGGUAGUGCAAAAAGGAGAAAUUUCUGCCGUGUAAUGAAAUUGGAGCCGAUUCUAUUGCUAAUUCGGCUCAAAUAAUGUCAAAAUAAAAAGGAAUUGCUUCCAAAUUAAAUUGGUAGCUUAUGAAGGUCCCUUGGUAUAUUUUGGAAGUGUUUGGGUGAAAUCAGAGCGAAAACGGAAAAUUUAGAAUUUUCUGUAAAGAUCGGGACUGAGAAAAUUAGCAGAAAAUGCAUAGUGUCAGAAAAUUAUGAAAAUUGACAGAGAUGUCAGGAACAUUUUUAUGAGGCUAUAUUUGAAGUUUCAGAUUUUUCUGACACCUGUAGAGAGAGAAAUAGCAUUUGAAAGUUAUCUGAUAAAGAUUACAGUUCGGGACAGUUCGCAGUGACCAAACGGGGUCGAAACUGAAAUAUUAAAAUUUCAGUGGACUUGUUAAGUAAAAACGAACAUUCCUGUCAAAUUUGAGCUCAAUCGGACUUUCGGAAGAGCUUACGAAGGGUAUCUGAUCCAAGGUCGCUAAACGGAUAAGUCGAGGGGCAUUUUGGUAACUUGGACAGGUUUAGUGGAAUUCCACUAACCAGCCAGGUUCCCCUCCAUCCUUAUCCCCUCUGCCACCUCUCCAUUCUGUCUACGUAGAGAGGGAGUGAGGGAAAAGAAGAGCAAAGGAAGAGAAGGAGAAAAGAGAAGAGAAGAAGAAGAAGAAGAAUAAAAAGGUGAAAAUUUUUAUUUCCCUCCCCCUCACCCCUUUUCCCUGCUGCUGAAAACAGCAGCAGCAGUAGCCCUUGCUGCUGCUGUGAGCAGGAGCAGCAGCAGCUUCUUGCUGCUGCUGUGAGCAAGGCAGGAGCAGCAGCAGCCUUAGCAGCUUCAGCAGCAGCAGUGAGCAACAGCAGCAGCAGGCAGCUCAGCAGCAGCAGCCUCAGCAGUAGUAACAUCAGCAGCAGCAACAGCCUCAGCUCAGCUCAGCAAAACUGCUGAGCAGCAGCAGCCUCAGCAGCAGCAGGAGUAAUAGCAGCAGCAGCAGCUUAGCAGCCUCAGCAGCAGCAGUGCGCAGGAGCAGCAGCAGCAGCUCAGCAGAAGCUGCUGAGCAGCAGCAGCAGCAGCUUGCGCAGCUGCUGUCAGCAGCUCAGCAGCAGCAGUAGUAGCUGCAGGCUGCAGGGAAAAGAAAAGAAAGAAAAGAAAGCUGCAGGGAAAAGAAAAGAAAGAAAAGAAAAGCAGGGAAAGAAAGAAAGGAAGAAAGAAUGAAAGAAUGAAAAGAAAGAAAAGAAAGCAAGAAAGGAAUGAAAGAGAGAAAAAUGGAAUCAAAGUAGUUGGACAGUUUUUAUUAACUGUUUUGAGGCUCUUGGGCUAAUAAGAAUUGAAUUACGCUAUGUAAUUGUGAAACUUGCAUUGAACAGAGGUUUUUAUAGAAACUGACCCCGAUAAUGCACUUUUGCAGGAUAGAAGCCCUGACGUAAAAUUGACCACGUACAAACCAAAUUGGGGGUAAAAGAAACGCGCUGGUGAAGUCGGUUCGGCAAUCCGUCGCUUCUACGCGAAGAUAUCGCCAAAACGGCGUUUUCGGCAUCAAUAGUCACGAGCGCGGGUCGCGGCUCUUGGAAAAGUACUCGAAGCGAAUUUCUCCCAUUCCGGCAUCAAAGAAAGGUGGGUUGUGCUUACCGAAGUGAUUAGGUCACUUCCAUGCCAAAGUAAAGUAUGAAUUCAAUUGACGCAUAUAUGUGUAGCGAUAGUUCAUGAAUAUGAUUAUUGAACUGAAAGCAUGAAUUAUAUAAGUUGCUUAUCGAUAGAAUAUGUACAUGACUAUAGUGAUAAUCCUGUAUGAUUAUUUACGUGCGACAAACAUGCUAGAGACAUAUGAAUGCGUGACUUGUGGGUGCUAGUUGCAAAAAGGGCUAAACGUAUAUGAAAAUGAACGCGGGAGACAUGAGAAUGAAUAUAUAUAUAUGAACGGGAAAGCCAUAGUUAUGCUAAAUUCAUAUGUUCAUGAUAUAUAUAAAUGUUGAACUUGUAAACAUCAUGUUAAACCUGUAAAAGCCAAGGGCAUGUAAAUUGAAUAUGAAAUGUGAACCUAGAUGCUGUUGUCGACACUUAAAAGCGAAUAUUUGAGGCAUGUGCCCAAACAUAUGUGAAAAUGAAUAUAUUAUAGUUCAAGCUAUAUGAAUGUCGAUAAUGAUUAGAAACCUCGGUGGCAAUAAGUAUAUAAUCUGUAAACCUCACGUGAAAUCCCUAAGUAUUGGGUAUAAAUCGACAACUCCAAUUGAGUAGAAAUCUAAACGGUAACGAGGUAAAUGAAAAUGUGCAGAUUAUAAACCUGGGCAUGGAGAACUAGGAUAUUGAACAGAUCGAGCGGCAUGAACCUAGAGUUAUUAAACAUAGGUUGGACAUGAAAUAAGCCUAGUGUUAUUGAACAUAGGCCGGACAUUAACCUAGUGUCAUUGGACCUAGGUCGAGUAUGCAAACCUAGAGUUGAGAUCUAGGAGAAAGUAAAUAAAACCUAGUGUAAGUGAACCUAGGUUAUGAUGUAAAGAACCACUUAGUAAAAGUAAACUAAGUUGUGAAUCAUAGUGGCAAUAGGACCACUAGAAAGUGAAUAGAAUAGACCUAGAAAGGUCGUCAACAUAGGGUCAGUGAGUAAACCCUUAAGUUGUGAAAUGGAUUCCGGAAUCCUUAGGAAUGGUGUGAUGGCAGAAAUAGAAUCUUAACUACGGGAUUGACGGUUCUCCUCUCCCGGUAGUGAUUCAACGGGAUUGACGGUUCUCCUCUCCCGGUAUGCCAUGAAACAAGUGAAGUGAAUCGAAACUACGGGGAUCGACGGUUCUCCUCUCCCGGUAGUGAUUCAACGGGAUUGACGGUUCUCCUCUCCCGGAGCUAAUGGGUUUGACGGUUCUCCUCGCCCGUUGAGCUUGAGCGACUUAGGGUCACGGGGAUCGACGGUUCUCCUCUCCCUGUGAUGGACCUAGUGUCGCGUGGACUUAAGGCUGAGGUGUUGUGAGACGUCCUUCACCUCGAGCCUGACUUGACGCGGUACUCCGCGGUUGAUUGACUCAAGACCGAGUCGAGUGGCUAGAUGGCUAAGGUAAAGUAACCUUAGGAAAAAAUCGCCAGUGAGUACAGUAAGAAUAAAGAAUAAAGCAUAAAGAAAAGAAUAAAGGAAAUAGCUAAUGAAUGAAGCUAGCUAAGAAAGAAUAAAAUGGCUACAAAUAGAGAAUGGCUAAUGAUAUAAAGUAGAAUCAAGUAAUCUACUUACAUGAAUUACAGGUAAUGCAUAUUGCAUAGCAGCGAGGCAAGGUAUGGUUUUAUUUAUCGCAUCGUUAAAUAUCUAUCUAUCUAUUGUUGAACUAACCUACUGUUGCCUCCUUUGGACCUGGUGGGUCGAGCUCUUCUCUUGGGUGGCCGUACCCACUGGGAACUAUGUUUAUAUAGUUCUCACCCCCGUGUUGUUUUGGGGGUACAGGUUACACGCGAGCGGCGCGGCGGCGCGAGGAUAGGGCGUAGCUUCGUAGAUAGCGCCCCACCACUGAGACUGAGAUAGCAACACCCUGAAGAGGUCAAGUUCAGAGUUCAAAUGGAAAGAAACAAAAUUGUAGUAAUUGGUAUAAGUUUCAUAUUAACUUAAAAGCAUAUGUGGUUAUGUAAAUGUAAAAUAUGGUAAAUGUAAAAGAAUCUUUGAGAUGAAUACUUGUAAUAGCAUAGUUUGCACUUUAUGUUUUUGAUACAUAUGCAAUCUACAUACUUGCUACAGUUCCUGUUUGGAACCUCUUGUAUUGCAUUGUUUAGAUUGUUGACGCCUAGAACGUACAGGGGAGGCUCUGUCCGUUCGGCGGUCUGUCGACGAGCCCGAAUCCGACCAAAUAGGCGGAGCUCGGGGCGUGACAGAUUAAAUGGUAUCAGAGCAUAAAAGAGCAUAAAAAGAGUAAUAGAAACGGUUUAGAUGGACCUAGGAGACCUAGGAUAGUAAACCGUAAGGACUUACGCUCGUGAGAGACGAGGACUUGUGACGUGUGGCGAAAGGUGAAUCGAUUGGGUCAAGUUUAGUAAACCUCUAAGACGGAUAUUUGAGGUAGAUUCAAGGUUCAGUUUAUUCUCAGCCAAGUGAGUUCAUGUUGGGUCGACACAACAUGAAACCGAGGGAUGGGAAUAAGCUUCCUUGCAUGACUUUCGCCCGAUUUGAGUCUGUACUAAUUGUUUCGUAUUCGGCCCAGAGGGUCGAGGACUGACUGAGUUGUCGUGUCGUGUU
rnacentral:lncRNA from 1 species